CGUCUCCUCCAACUCCUCCCCGGAUUGGAUUCAGCCCCCGGCCUGCAAAGUCCGGGGGCUUUUUUU
rnacentral:ncRNA from 1 species